AUGGCCGGUGUGAUGGACAUACCCAUCAAUAGGAGCGUCUUAGAUGACCUUCCCGUGCCAUGUCAUCUCAAGCUGUUCAUGGCGGCAAGCUAUGGCGAUAUGAAGAAGCUACAAGAGCUUCUGAGCUCGUCCACCUCGUUGGCGAGUGAGGAGGCCGGCGACUCCGCGGCACUGGCGGUUACCAGUGAGGAGAACUCGGCACUCCAUGUGGUAGCAACCGACGGGGACAGCCAGAAUUACCGUGACUGUGCAAAGGUGAUCCACGGCAAGGCCAGGCAGCUGUUGUUCAAGCGCAACAGGCACGGCGACACGCCGCUGCACCGCGCCGCCCGGGCCGGGAACACCGGCAUGGUCUCUUACCUGAUCGAGCUCGCGGCCGGCGACGGGGUGGCCAAAGACAUGGUGAGGCUGCAGAACAACGAUGGGAGGACGGCGUUGCAUGAAGCGAUCGGCUCUGACGACCGAGAAAUGGUGGAUGAACUAAUGUCAAAAGACAAGGAGCUGGCCCAAGUGAAUGCAUCUGAUGGUACUUCACCACUGUUCCUAGCAAUCUCGCUGGGUCAUCACAGCAUUGCUCGGCAGUUGCACGGGUAUGACAAAGACUUGUCCUACUCUGGCAAAAAUGGACAAAAUGCCUUACAUGCUGCCGUUCUUCACAACAAUAGAAUGGCACGGGAGUUGCUACUCUGGACCAAGGAAAACCAGGAAAAAAGAAAGAAGCUCGUUGAACAGCAGGACGAUUGUGGAAGUACGCCAAUGCACGUGGCUGCAUCAGCAGAAGACCCCUCUUUGGAGUUUUUCCUUUUCGCUUUUGUUGACAAGAGCAUGGAAAACAGUUCCUUCAGCCUCUACUAUGAUAUUGCACCAUCCAAGUUGUUAUACCACUUCUAUGCUCGGAGGGAACACCCAAUGUGUCUACUGGCGGAUGUUGAGCCUUCUUUGGCAUUUCAGCCGGACAAAGAGGGGUCGUUUCCGGUGCAUGUGGCUGCCUCGGCAGGCAGCUUGGUCCCUAUUAUCAUCUUGCUCUUCCGCCACCCUUCUGCCUGUGCCGCCUGUGCCAGAUUGCGUGAUGCUGAGGGAAGGACCUUCCUUCAUGUUGCUGUUGAGAUGAAGAGGCUUAAUGUGGUUAGGUUUGUGUGCAACAGGUUAUCAGAGUUUAAGUCCGUCAUGAAUAUACAGGACAAUAAGGGGAACACUGCUCUGCACCGAGCUGUUGAUGGGGGGAACUGGGAUAUAUUCGGAACCCUCAUCUGGAACCCCCAUGUUGCAUUAAAUUUAGCAAACAAGGAUGGAAAGACCCCCAUGGAUAUUGCGGAGAUAAAAGCUCCUUCAGCUUCGGGAUUUAAUUUUGGAAUGCAUGCACGGCGUAGGAUACUUGGGUCUCUAACCUUUGCAAACGCUCAGAACGGCAACAAACGGCGCGAUCUUUGUGCCAUAGAACAGGAAAAGACAUUUGAUGAGACGGUCGAGGACGGGAAAAUAACAAGCUUCGCACAGAUUGUGGGCAUUGGAUCUGUGCUGGUGGCGACGGCGUCGUUCACUGCAGCCUUCACCAUGCCUGAUCCCGGCAACUCGUACUACUACGCUUUCAAUGGGUUCGUCCUCUCCAACACACUGGCAUUCAUCUGCUCCGCUUUAGCCACCUUCAGUCUCAUAUACACCGGCGUAGCCGCACUCGACAUAGAGAAGCGGAUAGAGCUAGUAUCCUUCUCUCUGGCGCUGCUCAUAGGUGCAGGGAGAAGCUUCUGUGCCGCCUUCGCCUUCGCCCUGUAUGUGGAGCUUGACCCACUAAAUCACAGGGCAGCCAUCGUCUCCUGCACCAUGACAAUUGUUGCGCUGCUCGAUGCGGUUUGGUUCAUGAGGUCGAUAUUCACCGAUACAGCACUUGCUCUUAGGAGGGGAUGGGGCAAGCGGCAAAGCAUCGAAUGGAGAUCAGUGGGCGAGCGAUUGGUGAGACUGGCGACUAGAUUCCUAGCCAACAUUGUCUAUCUCUUCUGGCCCUACAUCGUAAUCUUCGGUCUCUUGGAAACUAGAAAGAAUAUCACUGGACACAACAAGCUGGGCUGA
rnacentral:rRNA from 1 species